ACCAUGGACUCUACUCUGCGGAAGGAGGG
rnacentral:piRNA from 1 species